UAAUUCUGAGUAGAUAGUUACAAGGCCCAUAUUCUCAAGGCCCAAUAGCUUAGUCCAAUAGCUUAGAGUAUAAAUAAUCUCUUUGUAAUUAUUUUUAUUACUUUUUCAACUUUUAUCUAAAAUUCAAACUCUAAACCCUAGAAGGGUUUCUCCCAAAACUCGCGACUCUUCACUCUCCUAACCCUAAGCCGACCUCCAGAGCUUCCGGUCGUCUUCGCCGCCUCAUCGCCGUCUGUAUUCUUGUCAUGGUACCAGAGCCCUGGUGGUGAAGCCCGUGUCGAGUUGCUGGAGCGUCGCUGUAACUAUUCUCUAAAAGAGUGCCAAAGGAGAAGAGUUUCUGUUCCGAUAUUCUUCGCUGAUCUUGAUCUUCAACAUCCGUCUGGACUACUGUCUCUAGACAGAUCUGGUAUUUCUAAACCCUAACAACAACAAAAAAAAAAAUAUACAAUCUUUAAAAAAAAAAAAAAAACUCCUAAAAUCAUUGCAUGUGAUCUUGCUCUUGCUUAGAUGUUUAGUCUCCAUAAUGUCAUGAUCUUUCGACUGCAUGCACGAUCAUCUAAACAUAAUCUACAUGCACUGUCACAUAAACAGAUCAUGACCAUGUUAGAGGGUACAUGCCCCCAUUAUUUUGGGAAUGUUCCCCACCUAUUAAAUCAUACAUACAUGCAUGCUCUUCUGAGAGAACAGGCUUCUGUCUCACCAAAUAAUUAUUUAAAACCAUCCUAUGCUAAAUGUGUACUGUUAUGCAUGACUACUAUGUAUAUUGCUUUGCAUGACUAUUGUACAUAUUGCUAUUCAAAGUCACCCCAUUCUAAUAUACAUUCUACUGUGCAUGACUUAAAUUGCAAGGGACUCUGUGUCUCCAUUCUUAUUGCAUAUAAGUACACAUCACAUAAACUGAUAUAUCACUAUACACUCACUAUCAUGUCUACAUCUACAUAUGGACCAAACUAUUCAUACUAUAAAUGCAAACAAUAUCAACUAUUCAUUUACAUCAUUAAAUCAUCUAUACAUAUUCAUGCUAUUGAUACUCACUCUGAUAAAUACACGCUUCCGCAUAAUUCUUUAUAUCACAUAAAGCAUAUUUGUAGAUUGCAAAUAGAUUUAAUUCAAUUAUCUUACAUAAGCAACUCAAAGACUCUGUCUUCUCAUUGUCAAAUCUAUAUGAUCAUUCAAUGCAACUUUCUAAUUCAUAUAUACUAUUGUAAUUCCUAUGGUCACAGAUCAAACAACAUGUCUGAUAAGACCCCAAGGGGUGGACCACUCUUUGAUCCUGUCUCCCCAUACUUCAUAAAAACCACUGAUUAUGGCCCCCCAAGCAUAAUCAACACACUCCAAGGCAGCCAAAACUAUUAUCCCUGGAGUAGGGAGAUGACUACCAUGUUGAUCACUAGGAGGAAAUUAGGUUUUGUCUUAGGUACCCUCAGGGAGCCAAAUGUGAAAAAUACGGAUGAAUAUGAGGCCUGGGUCACCUGCCAUGGUGUCAUUAGGCAGUGGAUCUGGAGUUCAGUCUCCCCAGAGAUUGCAUCCCAGAUC
rnacentral:lncRNA from 1 species